AGCUCCAAUAGCAUAUAUUAAAGUUGUUGCAGUUAAAAAGCUCGUAGUUGGAUUUCUGGCAUGAUGCGCCUGGCCCGCCGUGAUUACGCGUGUGUGUGCUAGUGCGCGUCUGCCAUCCAUUGGCAGAAUAUGUCUACCCUUAAUUGGGCCGGAUAUGUGAUGUCAAUCUUUUACUUUGAAAAAAUUAGAGUGUUUAAAGCAGGCAUUUGCUAUGAAUACAUUAGCAUGGAAUAAUAAUCUAGGACUUCGGUUCUAUUUUGUUGGUUUCUAGAUCUGGAGUAAUGAUUGAUAGGGAUAGUUGGGGGUGCUAGUAUUAAGGGGCCAGAGGUGAAAUUCUUGGAUUCUCUUAAGACUAACUUAUGCGAAAGCAUUCACCAAGGAUGUCUUCUUUAAUCAAGAA
rnacentral:rRNA from 1 species